ensembl:lncRNA
CCCAUGUCAAAUGUGACAUAACCCACUAUGUGAAAUGUGACAUAACCCACUAUGUGAAAUGUGACAUAAACCAGGGCUUUAUAAAGGUCAGGAUAAGGCUUUAUAAAUCAUAUUAAAUUGGGGCUUCAUGAAGUAUCUAUAACCUUGUCAUGCGUCUUGGUAGAGCAUUGCAACACCAGGAUAGUGGGUUAGAUUUCCGGGACCACCCGUAUGUAAACAUUUACGCACAACUGUAAAUCUCUUACCUUGAGAUGGGGGCUUUCAUAGAGGUCAGUGUUUCCUUCAGUUGGGGGGCUUUCAUCAAGGUCAGUGUUUCAUUAUGUUGAGUACUUUCAUCAAGGUCAGUGUUUCAUUAUGUUGAGGGGCUUUCAUCAAGGUCAGUGUUUCAUUAUGUUGAGGGGCUUUCAUCAAGGUCAGUGUUUCAUUAUGUUGAGGGGCUUUCAUCAAGGUCAGUGUUUCAUUAUGUUGAGGGGCUUUCAUCAAGGUCAGUGUUUCAUUAUGUUGAGGGGCUUUCAUCAAGGUCAGUGUUUCAUUAUGUUGAGGGGCUUUCAUCAAGGUCAGUGUUUCAUUAUGUUGAGGGACUUUCUU